rnacentral:lncRNA from 1 species
ACCUGUACAAUCUUUUCUCUCUCAAAAUGCUCCCAAACACUCAAACCCUAUUCGUCUCCCUCGUCUUCUCUGACCAUUAUCUCGCCGGAGUCCAUGGCUUUUCAGGCCAUGGACGACCUGUGCUCACCUUCUUUCACUCCUAAGUCAUGGUUGUUCGAGAUUUUGAGGUCUGACCUCGAUGGAUUUCAUUCAGAUCUUCUCAUAUCUGUGGUUCUAUGGCAUCUCCGACGUUGCUCCAACAUAUUCGAGCUUUAGAAGCCUAGCCAUGGCCAUCUCUGACUCAAGAACAGACCUCUUCCAAGACUUCUCAUUUCUAGGGUAUUAGAGAAACCCUAAAGCUAUUCGAGGUUCCUUCCUCUUUUAUUUACUUAGAUCUGUGGUGAAUCUGUGCUAUAUUCAACGUUUUAAGGCUUUUCCCCAAUUUUCUUUUCAAAAUUAGUUUGUUUUCAAUUUAGGGUUUCCGAAAAUCUCAAAAAUGACUUAUCUCUCUUCUUCUUAUUUUCUUUGUGUGAAUCUCUAUAUGCCAUCUUCUUAUGUUCUUUCCUCGCAUGUCUGCUCAAGUGUUCUUAUGUUUUUGCGAUAUUAUGCAUGCUCUUCUAUUUUGUGUUAUGUUCUUCCCUCUACCAGUUUCUAUAAGCACGCUUCUACAUGUCUAUCUCGUACGUUCCUUUACUGUAUUUUUUACUAAGCUUUUAAUCCUUGUUUCUCUAAGCAGGUUUUCGUCUACUGUUUUUCCUAAACCUGUAUCGAUUUUCUAUCCUAAACUUGUUUAAGUGACAAGUUUUGCCUCAAUGUAUUCCAUGUGUUUCAAACUUACUACUCUCUCUGUUUGUUUUCUCAUAAGUCUCUGAAAGAGACUACAGAGACUGUUCUGUCUGUUUUCUAAUCUACGCAUCUAUGUCGAGUCAGAAACCCUAGUAUUUGGGGUUUUUUGUAGGCUUGACUUUGUGUUUGGUCUAGGGUUCCAUUCAGAACCCUUAACUCUCUUCCAGACUCAUUCUGAGUCUAUGAACCUAACCUUCUUGGUCACUCUGAUUUCUUGCUAGUUUUACGACAACUCUCUCUUGUCGCACAUGUUUGUAUGCUUUUAAUAUAACAAAUUCUCUUCUUUCAAAGGCCUUUGGCUAGCUUGUGAUUGAUUCCCGAGUUUCUUUUUAAAAGGUUUGAUUAUGUGUUGUUGAUUUUCUUUAAACCUUUUGCUGGUUGGAUUCAUUCACACUAAGAUUCGAAUCCUGAUUUUACUGGUUGUUGAUUGUUGUCUUUCCUUGUCCAUCCCAAAACGUGUGCUAUUAGACUAUUUCCUUAAAUAAACUUCUGUGUGUUUGUCCCUAUAACACUAUUUUAGAAAAGAUUUUUCAUAACAAAUCCUUUCCUUAUUUAUUCUGCCGGUUUGAUUCAAAUCCCUUAACCAAAGGGAAAUAGCUUGUGAUUGAUUUCAAAACUAUUCUCUUACCUUUUUCUUACUCACCUUCUACAUUAAAAAGGGUAUGUCGCUUUGCACUAAAAGACAUAUUUUUCACGUGCUUUUACAGACUUUUCUGCAUAAAAAUACAGGCUUUUAGACAAUCGAAUACUGAGUUCUUUCACAAAAAAUUCUACUCUCUUCUUCUACUUUGUGCAUUCUGAAACAAUUGUGAGCUCUCUUUCUAAACUCUCAAGUGUUCUGCUGAACUUUAGUCUACUCCUGCUGUGUUCACUUGCCGUGAUUGCUCUGUUGUUCUGCUUUUUUUACUUUGCAAUUGGUACUUUAUUCUUGCUUAAAUAAUGCUUCUUCACUAUGUGUUUACUUCCUAGUCUGUUAUGUUCUUCUUUACUAUGUUUCUGCGACCAUGUUGUGCUUUUCUUAUGUGAACUCCCUUUCCCUUUUCCCCUUUGUAUGUGAGCAUAGUUCCAGUCAUAGCAGCACUUUAAUAUUGUUGUCAAUGAGCUGUUGUGUUUUUCUUAUGUGAACUCCCUUUCCCUUUUCCCCUUUGAAUGUGAGUAUAGUUCCAGCCAUAAAAGCACUUUGAUAUUGCUAUCUAUGACUCUGAACUUGGUUCAUUGAACCCCUAGCUCAAUCAAUGCACACUCCCUUCUCCCCUUUAUGUACUUAAGCCUAGACUUGAGUCUGGUGGUGUCCUAAUCACCAUCCAGACCUAGGUUUUACCCUCAAAGGUCUGCUUUAAACUUGUUUGACCAAACAAAUGGUCAGGGGUAUGCCAGUCUGCACCUGUGGCUGGGUAUAGCCACCAUUUGUUAUGGCUCCCUAAUUCCUUUUCACUUUGGGACCCUGGAGCUCCCUCUGAACAUGGAUGCCUGAGGGCUGGCUAUUUCGCACCGCACUAUUCUAAUUUUAAAUGGUAUCCUGAGUGUAAGCAAUGCUGGGAGUCCUUGAGAUUCCUUGGAACUUUGAAACACUUUGGAUAAAGAGAAGGCUUUGGAAAUCUGGAUUCCGAAAUUGGUUAAUCACAUUUUAUUGGACAUUAAGAUUGGAUUAGGCAGUUUGAAUCUAGCUGUUAGUUUUUGAUGUAUUUUCUUUCUUUCUUUUGGUCUGUAAUAAUUUGUAUAAAAGAAC